rnacentral:lncRNA from 1 species
UUUGUUUUUGAGACAGACUCUGGUUUCCCAAGCUGGCCUUGAGCUAACAAAAGAACACACAAUACAAGACUUAAGACAAAGCCGGACAGCUUCAGGGUAACAGGACCUCCUUCCCUGUAAAAAUGAAAUGGGUCAGAUGCUGAGCUUUUUAUGAGAUUUAGAAAGCCGUGCAUAGCUCUAUAGCGGUGGGAGCUUUAAUCUCUGUUUUCAUAGACUGGUAAUUUUCUAAGAAUAAGAGAUGUUGGAGUGACCUCGUGGCACAAUGGUAGCACGUCUGACUCCAGAUCAGAAGGUUGCGUGUUCAAAUCACGUCGGGGUCAUGAAUACCUGUUUGGGGGCUGGUGAGAUGGCUCAGUGGGUAAGAGCACCCGACUG